GAUGAACGCUGGCGGCGUGCCUAAUACAUGCAAGUCGAGCGAACGGACGAGAAGCUUGCUUCUCUGAUGUUAGCGGCGGACGGGUGAGUAACACGUGGAUAACCUACCUAUAAGACUGGGAUAACUUCGGGAAACCGGAGCUAAUACCGGAUGAUAUUUUGAACCGCAUGGUUCAAAAGUGAAAGACGGUCUUGCUGUCACUUAUAGAUGGAUCCGCGCUGCAUUAGCUAGUUGGUAAGGUAACGGCUUACCAAGGCAACGAUGCAUAGCCGACCUGAGAGGGUGAUCGGCCACACUGGAACUGAGACACGGUCCAGACUCCUACGGGAGGCAGCAGUAGGGAAUCUUCCGCAAUGGGCGAAAGCCGGACGGAGCAACGCCGCGUGAGUGAUGAAGGUCUUCGGAUCGUAAAACUCUGUUAUUAGGGAAGAACAUAUGUGUAAGUAACUGUGCACAUCUUGACGGUACCUAAUCAGAAAGCCACGGCUAACUACGUG
rnacentral:rRNA from 1 species